rnacentral:tRNA from 1 species
GGCGUUGUGGCCGAGUGGUAGGCACAGGUUCGCAAAACCUGGUACAGUGGUUCGAAUCCAUUCGACGCCUCAA